GUUUUAAUAAUUUAACAAAAAUAUUGGUCUUGUAAACCAGAAAUAAGGAAUAGCCUUUUAAAACU
rnacentral:tRNA from 1 species